rnacentral:lncRNA from 1 species
CUCAAGGUCGUGGAGUCAGGGGAGACGACAGCUGUGGAGCAGGCUCAGAGCAGCUCUACCUCCUCCUGUCAGUUCUGGGAGAAAAGUACUUUAUCCUUUGAGGACUGAUGCUUGGGGAGCAGGUCCCUGGGAUGGAUUAGCUCCUUUUCACUCUCUGAUUGUUGGGUC